rnacentral:rRNA from 1 species
AACGAACGCUGGCGGCAUGCCUAACACAUGCAAGUCGAACGAUGCCUUCGGGCAUAGUGGCGCACGGGUGCGUAACGCGUGGGAAUCUGCCUUUCGGUUCGGAAUAACUCAGGGAAACUUGAGCUAAUACCGGAUAUCGUCGCAAGACCAAAGAUUUAUCACCGAAAGAUGAGCCCGCGUAGGAUUAGCUAGUUGGUGAGGUAAAGGCUCACCAAGGCGACGAUCCUUGGCUGGUCUGAGAGGAUGAUCAGCCACACUGGGACUGAGACACGGCCCAGACUCCUACGGGAGGCAGCAGUGGGGAAUAUUGGACAAUGGGCGAAAGCCUGAUCCAGCAAUGCCGCGUGAGUGAUGAAGGCCUUAGGGUUGUAAAGCUCUUUUACCCGGGAAGAUAAUGACGGUACCGGGAGAAUAAGCCCCGGCUAACUCCGUG